AUGCUUGCAUCCACCACAGUGAAUAUUAACUUUGAGUGAAAGAAUUUGGAAACCGGACGGCAAAAACGAAGUAACUGUUGGAAUUUGUGGAUUUCGGUUAGUUCAGAAACUUAACAAGAGAAGCAACUAAAAAAAUACAAUUGAUUUCUCUUCAUGUUACAAAGAAUGAAAAGAUUUGUUGAAAUCGAAUUUGACAACUAUGACAGCUUAUUAAAGGUAGCAAUCACCUCCAAUUAUUUCCUGGUCAAAUCACACACUAUAAAGUUUAAAGUUAUCGUGUGUUGUAGUUUGGAAAGAUGACCGAAUAGAGAUCUGAAUAACAAACUGUGGAGAACUUGUUUGUGUCGGGUUCUUCUGCUAGUUACUUGAUCAACAGACUGAUCGGUAACGUUACUCUACUUGUGCUCCGAUUUAAGCGGCGUGUUCCGAUCAACGUUGUUUAAAGGUGAUGAAGAGUUUAGAAACCCUAGAAUGAUGGUGCUUUUACGGGAAAAAACGUGAUAAUUGAAAAACAUCAAUCUAUACGGCCCGUAUACAAUUAUACGGCCCGUAUACAAUUAUACGGCCCGUAUACAUU
rnacentral:lncRNA from 1 species